CCCUGCUUUUCUUGUUGAUAACGCCCUAGCUAUAAGAGCCCAUUGCUCUUCUAGAUUUCUCCAUUCGUGCUCUCUCUCUAGCUUCUGAGAUUUCUCUCUCCUCCAAAACCAUCCAAAACUAUCCUAGAUGGGUUCUGGCAAGAAGAUCAAGAUCGGCAUCAAUGGGUUUGGAAGGAUUGGGCGCCUGGUUGCCAGGGUGGCUUUGCUAAGAGAUGAUAUUGAGCUUGUUGCUGUCAAUGAUCCUUUCAUCAGCCCUGAGUACAUGAUCUACAUGUUCAAGUAUGACAGUGUACAUGGUCAAUGGAAGCACCAUGAUCUUAAGCUGAAAGACUCGAAGACCCUUCUCUUUGGGGAAAAGCCAGUAACAGUUUUUGGCAACAGAAACCCUGAAGAGAUCGCAUGGGGUGAAGCUGGAGCAGAGUAUGUUGUUGAAUCUACUGGAGUCUUCACUGACAAGGACAAGGCAGCUGCCCAUCUCAAGGGGGGGGCUAAGAAGGUGGUUAUUUCAGCUCCAAGCAAAGAUGCCCCCAUGUUUGUUGUGGGUGUGAAUGAGCACGAGUACAAGCCUGACGUUCAUAUUGUUUCCAAUGCUAGCUGUACCACCAAUUGUUUGGCACCUCUGGCCAAGGUCAUUAAUGACAGAUUUGGCAUAGUUGAGGGUCUUAUGACCACUGUCCACUCUAUUACCGCCACCCAGAAGACAGUGGAUGGUCCCUCAAGUAAGGACUGGAGAGGUGGCAGAGCCGCUGGCUUCAACAUCAUUCCCAGCAGCACUGGAGCUGCUAAGGUAAUGAAGCCCAACAAUAACUAAAUUGCUUGGUUUCGUCUUUUUAAACUUGUCCCAGAUGAAAGAAAGCGAUAAAAUGUGAGGAUAACUACAACUGGUGGUGGCUUUUCUGUUUUUUGCAGGGAGGAGUCUGAGGGUAAGCUGAAGGGGAUCUUGGGCUACACUGAGGAUGACGUGGUCUCCACUGACUUUGUUGGAGACAGCAGGUCGAGCAUCUUUGAUGCGAAAGCAGGGAUUGCAUUGAAUGAUCACUUUAUGAAGUUGGUGUCGUGGUACGACAAUGAAUGGGGCUAUAGUACACGUGUGAUUGACCUCAUCUGUCACAUGGCGUCCGUAUCAAAUUAGAGAGAUAAAGAAGAGAGAGAUGGAGGUAUUUCUCUCUCUACUUUUUUAGGGACGUGACUUUGUGUUCCUGAGGAUGUCUAAGCUCUAGAGUAUUUUUGAGGAUCAAGAGUGAAUAAUGAGUGUCUGAGUGGGUUUUGAAACCGACUGGUCUUCGUAUUUAAUGUUUGCGGUUAUGCUUUUAAUGUCACUUUAUUGUAGUUAUGUUCUCCUUUGUUAUAUUUCUAUCUUUUUUGUAAUGGCAUAUACACCUAAUUCCUUCUUUUUGCAA